rnacentral:lncRNA from 1 species
UCCAGUAUGGCUCUACCCAGCGCUGCAUUCAGUCUCCAGUUUGCAACCUCUGAUCUGGAACAUACAGGAGCCACUCUACUGUCACAAUGAACCAGCUUUGCAUUGGAUCAAUUCAAGGCACAAUCAGGAUAUGGCCUAAAAUAAAAUAGUUGGAUUCUUGUAAGGGUCCGGGACCUGCGGAAGAUCAGAAAUUUUUGCAAUGCAGCAUCCAGAGGAGAAAAUGGGCUUUGGAGCCAGACAUACCUGGGUCUGAAUCCUUGAUGAAGGACCUUGGAUAAGUCAAUUAAUCUCUUCCUUAGUUUUCUUAUCUAUAAAAUUGGACUACCUUACAGGCUUUUUGUAGAGACCAAAGUUGAUGAUACAUUACGUUAUCUCUUAUUCUUUCUUUGGAACAGACACUUGGUAUAUGGCAGUUAUUAUUAUUAUGCAGCAUAUUCAUUGCAAACCAUCCCCUGCCAACAUUUAAAAAAAUACAUGGUUAUAUUUAAAUAACUUAAAUAUGUCAUUUAUUUAUGCUAUUAAUUUGCUUAGUUCAUCUUUUCUUUUUUUUUCCUUUUAUUAUUAUACUUUAAGUUUUAG